GGCUGACCCUCUUUGGGGUUCAGCUCCAGGAGAUUUGGUUCUAGUCUGGAGUGUUCUGUGAUCUUCAGCCAGCCAUCGCAGAAGCCAAUUCCCAGCACAUGGCCUGCCAUGAGCCCAUUCUGAGUCGGGGGGCAGGACCUGAGCACUGCAGGGAACUCUUUGGUAGGAGCAAUGGCUUGGCAUAGAGUGUGUGUGGAUGAGAUUUACGUUAUGCUAAUUUAACAGAACAUAGAAUGUCAGAGCUAGAAGGGACUUUAGAACACAGAAUGUUCUGAUAGGGGACCUUCUAGGUUACUGAAUGCUAAGGAAUCAAAGGCCCAGAGACAGGGAGGCCCAAGGUCACCCAGGCUGUGCAGAGCUGGAACUUGAACCCAGAUCUCCUACCUCUCCAUCCAUGUGCCCUUUCCAUAUAAACACAUGCAGCAGGGAUGCCUCACAGCUUGCAUGGAGAAGAAAGAGAUAGGAAGAAGACGACUGGAGAAACAAGAGCCAAAUCCACAGUUCCCCUGGGCUGAGCCCUGGGUAGAGGCUGAGCCAUUACUGAAUUAAUUGCUGAGGUGCCACCAAGUCUUUUUUAACUCAGAGCUGAGAUCCCAGGCCACAAAUUGCCCAUCUGUUCAAUUCAAGUAAGUAAGACCUUAUUAGGUACCUGCUGUAUUCUGAGGCUUGUGUAAGACCAUAUAAAAGAGACAAGCAGAGCAGGUACACGGCAUUUUCCCCUCCCCCACAACCCCCCCAUUCCCAGAGAGCUCCCAGUCUGGUAGAAAAGGUGGGAUGUAUACCCAUGAAACCACCCAGAGAACAGCACAAUGUGUAUUUGUGUGGUACAGACAGUGUGUGCUCUAGAAAUUCAGAAGAGUAGGACAUCAAAGUCUAUAGUUGCUAUAGACAUCUACAUAAGGAUCUCACUGUCUCAUGAGCAAGACCAUUCGCAUUGCUGGACAGGCUCUGUUUAAGAAGCUCUUCUUUAUUUUGACCUGAAAUCGAUCUCCCUGAAAUUCUGCUCACAACCAGCCUGCUCUCUAUACAGAAUGAAGUGAGAGGAACAAGGCUAAUCUCUCUUUCUUGUGAGAGCCCUUCAGAUAUUUAGAGAUCAACACAUGCCUGAGGGGCCACAGAUGGCUUCAAGGAGUAGGUAACAAUUGAUCUGGACUUGAGGGAUAGAUAGGAUUUGGAUAACGGGAGAGGAGAGCAGAAGACAGAUGGGCAAGAAGGAUUUGGUGGGAGAUGGCAUGAUCAAAAGCCAGAAAGAGAAGAGAGAUGAACCUAUUAUGUGGGGCUAAAGAAGGAGGAAGGUGGAGAAGGGACAGAAUGAUAAUGAUAUAGCUUUCUGGGGUACCCUACUUCUGAGGCUGCUAAGAAAAGAAGUAUUCCGAGGCCCAACUAGAGGUGCUGCAUGCCUCCACUGUUCCCUCUGAAAUGUCUUCCCCUUCUCUCUCUGUUGAAUUCCUACUCAUCCUUUAAAACCCGGUUCAGAUGACACCUCCAUCACAAAGCCAUCCCUGAUCCCCUGGUUAGUAAUGAACUCUCCCUCACAAUGGACAUAGCAUUUUUCUUUGCCUAUCUCUAAGGCACUUAUCAUGUGAUAAUUUAUAUCAUAAGUAUCUGUUUAUGUGUCUUAAUCCCCACUAGCCUUACAGUUUCAUGGGGGCAAGGGACUGUGUCUCAUCUAAACUUCGUCUCUCCCUUUGUACCACGUGCAUGUUGUCCAUGGCAUUAUAGAGAUGAAGAGAUUGAGGCCCAGAAAAGGGCAGGUUUCUCCCCGCAUUAAUAUUCCAAGCUCAUCCAACAUCAGCCUUAAAAAAGACCUUAGGAAUUCCCUCUUUUGAUCAUAAAAAUGGGGAAAGGACUCACAUGUACAAGAAUAUUUAUAGCAGCUCUUUC